GACGAACGCUGGCGGCGUGCUUAACACAUGCAAGUCGAACGGAAAGGCCCUGCUUUUGUGGGGUGCUCGAGUGGCGAACGGGUGAGUAACACGUGAGUAACCUGCCCUUGACUUUGGGAUAACUUCAGGAAACUGGGGCUAAUACCGGAUAGGAGCUCCUGCUGCAUGGUGGGGGUUGGAAAGUUUCGGCGGUUGGGGAUGGACUCGCGGCUUAUCAGCUUGUUGGUGGGGUAGUGGCUUACCAAGGCUUUGACGGGUAGCCGGCCUGAGAGGGUGACCGGCCACAUUGGGACUGAGAUACGGCCCAGACUCCUACGGGAGGCAGCAGUGGGGAAUAUUGCACAAUGGGCGGAAGCCUGAUGCAGCAAAGCCGCGUGCGGGAUGACGGCCUUCGGGUUGUAAACCGCUUUCGCCUGUGACGAAGCGUGAGUGACGGUAAUGGGUAAACAAGCACCGGCUAACUACGUG
rnacentral:rRNA from 1 species